rnacentral:rRNA from 1 species
GAUAUGGCUCAGGAUGAACGCUAGCUACAGGCUUAACACAUGCAAGUCGAGGGGCAGCAUGACCUAGCAAUAGGUUGAUGGCGACCGGCGCACGGGUGAGUAACACGUAUCCAACCUACCGGUUAUUCCGGGAUAGCCUUUCGAAAGAAAGAUUAAUACCGGAUAGUAUAACGAGAAGGCAUCUUUUUGUUUAUUAAAGAAAUUUCGUAUAACCGAAUGGGGAGUGCGUUCCAUUAGUUUGUUUGGCGGGGUAACGGGCCCACCCAAG